CGGAAACAUUUCGGUCGGAAAGUUUUCAGUCUGGGACGCUAGAGAGCGACGGAGACCGGAAAAUCACACAAAACACUGCCAGCAUCAGAUAUGGAGCAACAUCUGGCCUCACCUGGAGCAGUGGAAGCAAAAAUACAUCCAGAGUGAAGUUUCUGACUACUUGAUGGAGUCAGAGUGCCAGCAGAGAAGGCGAGUUCAGAGAAUCGGACGACUGCUCGCUACUGCUGUUCCGCUGGUUGGCACUGACCCCGCAGGCUCCCUCUGGGCUGAGGCUGCUGCUGGACUUGCUGCUGCUGUUGAACCGGAGGCUGGGACUGUGUGGAGGCCGGAUGGGCUGUGUAGGCAGGAGGAAGAUAGAAAGAGUCUUCCUUCACAGUCAAGCCCACAAUGGAGACAGGCGGUUGUAAGGCCUGGGGAGGCAGCUGAGACUGCACUGGAGGCAGCUGUGCUGAGCCCUGCUGAGGCUGGUCCUGGUACGGGAUCUUACAGUUUGCCUGUAGGUCUGUCUCCUGUGGGUUGGUACAGAGGAUGAAAAAAAAUGGGGAAGAAGGAGACGGGAACAAGGCAAAGACUCUUCUCGUGUACGGCGAGUUCGGGCUCUGGACUGACGGACAGGGCCGGCUGCUGGCCCUGGAGUGUCUGAACUCGGUGGGGUGAAUCCAGACCCCGAAGAAUAACUCGG